AGGCAGCAGUGGGGAAUAUUGGACAAUGGGCGAAAGCCUGAUCCAGCCAUGCCGCGUGUGUGAAGAAGGCCUUUUGGUUGUAAAGCACUUUAAGCGGGGAGGAGGGCACCACGGUUAAUACCCGUGAAUGUCGGACGUUACCCGCAGAAUAAGCACCGGCUAACUCUGUGCCAGCAGCCGCGGUAAUACAGGGGGUGCGAGCGUUAAUCGGAAUUACUGGGCGUAAAGCGCGCGUAGGCGGCUUGUUAAGUCAAAUGUGAAAUUCCCGAGCUUAACUUGGGCAUUGCAUUCGAUACUGGCAAGCUAGAGUAUGGGAGAGGAAGGUAGAAUUCCAGGUGUAGCGGUGAAAUGCGUAGAGAUCUGGAGGAAUACCGAUGGCGAAGGCAGCCUUCUGGCCUAAUACUGACGCUGAGGUGCGAAAGCAUGGGGAGCAAACAGGAUUAGAUACCCUGGUAGUCCAUGCCGUAAACGAUGUCAACUAGCCGUUGGGCCCCUUGAGGGCUUAGUGGCGCAGCUAACGCGAUAAGUUGACCGCCUGGGGAGUACGGUCGCAAGACUAAAACUCAAAUGAAUUGACGG
rnacentral:rRNA from 1 species